rnacentral:sRNA from 1 species
GGCGUGGGCGGGCUGAAGGGGGAUGGCCUCAGGCUGAAAUCCAAGGAGGCUCGGGAGUCCAGAACCUUGGAGGACAUGCUUUGCUUCACCAAGACUCCCCUCCAGGAAUCCCUCAUCGAACUCAGCGACAGCAGCCUCAACAAGAUGGCCACCGACAUGUUCCUAGGUGUGGGAGUGGGACUGCAGCCAGGGCUCUGGGCUAGGGGGGAUCCAGCACUGUGUGAUCCCUACUGGUCGCCACUCCUCCCUGAUCUUCAGAUUCUUUCCCUCCCGCCAGCUCAGACAUGGGACACAUUUAAGAGAAUAGAAGCUCCCAGCUGCCUGUGGCCAAGGCUCCCAGGGAGGGGCUCAGCCCUGGGGCUUCCUGGGGUGGGGGGGCAACUGGGGGUUUGGUGGGUCUGAGUGGGAUAGGUCUUUCCUACAGCUGUAAUGAAGUUCAUGGGGGAUGCCCCACUGAAGGGCCAGAGUGACCUGGAUGUGCUUUGUAACCUCCUGAAGGUCAGUCCAGCCAACUUUGCCAGAGGCCCCAUUUCCUGCUCUGUGGCUCAGUUUCCCCAUCUGUCAAUGAGUCACAGGAUAUUAGGGCGGGAAACCUCUCCCAUGGUCCAAACAGGAAUGCAUCAUGCUGGUGGGGAGGGGGCUGGGAAAGGGACACCAGGCCUAUCUUCAGGUGCCCACCCUGUUCUUAUGUACCUGGUAUAUGACAUAGCCCCUAGCAUGUCUUUGGUGUGUGACCUCCCUGCUCUCCUUCAGCUGUGCGGGGACCAUGAGGUCAUGCGGGAUGAAUGUUACUGCCAAGUUGUGAAGCAGAUCACAGACAAUACCAGCUCCAAGCAGGACAGCUGCCAGCGAGGCUGGAGGCUGCUGUAUAUCGUGACUGCCUACCACAGCUGCUCUGAGGUCCUCCACCCACACCUCACUCGCUUCCUCCAAGACAUGAGCCGGACCCCAGGCCUGCCCUUUCAGGGGAUCGCCAAGGCCUGUGAGCAGAACCUGCAGAAAACCUUGCGCUUUGGAGGUCGUCUGGAGCUCCCCAGCAGCAUAGAGCUUCGGGCCAUGUUGGCAGGCCGCAGUUCCAAGAGGCAACUCUUUCUUCUUCCUGGAGGCCUUGAACGCCAUCUCAAAAUCAAAACAUGCACUGUGGCCCUGGACGUGGUGGAAGAGAUAUGUGCUGAGAUGGCUCUGACACGCCCUGAGGCCUUCAAUGAAUAUGUUAUCUUCGUUGUCACCAACCGGGGCCAGCAUGUGUGCCCACUCAGUCGCCGUGCUUACAUCCUGGAUGUGGCCUCAGAGAUGGAGCAGGUGGACGGCGGCUACAUGCUCUGGUUCCGGCGUGUGCUCUGGGAUCAGCCACUCAAGUUCGAGAAUGAGCUAUACGUGACCAUGCACUACAACCAGGUCCUGCCUGAGUACCUGAAGGGACUCUUCAGCAGCGUGCCGGCCAGCCGGCCCAGCGAGCAGCUGCUGCAGCAGGUGUCCAAGCUGGCUUCACUGCAGCAUCGCGCCAAGGACCACUUCUACCUGCCGAGCAUGCGGGAAGUCCAAGAGUACAUCCCAGCCCAGCUCUACCGUACAACGGCAGGCUCGACCUGGCUCAACCUGGUCAGCCAGCACCGGCAGCAGACACAGGCGCUCAGCCCCCACCAGGCCCGUGCCCAGUUUCUGGAGCUGCAGCAACAUUGCUGUGCCAGCCCCUUGCAUCCUUGCCGUCAACCACAAUGGCCUCAACUUUCUCAGCACAGAGACUCAUGUGAGUGGCCUCAGCCUGGCACUGCCAUCGCCACCCUCUGUUCCCUGGUCCCCUACCCCCUCCAAGGGGCCAAGACCUCCAGCCGCCGAAGCCCAGUUCCACUGCUUACCACCUUCAUGAUCUCAGGAAUUGAUGGUGAAGUUCCCCCUGAAGGAGAUCCAGUCGACGCGGACCCAGCGGCCCACGGCCAACUCCAGCUACCCCUACGUGGAGAUUGCGCUGGGGGACAUGGCGGCCCAGCGCGCCUUGCAGCUGCAGCUGGAGCAGGGACUGGAACUGUGUCGUGUGGUGGCCGUGCAUGUGGAGAACCUGCUCAGUGCCCAUGAGAAGCGGCUCACAUUGCCCCCCAGCGAGAUCACCCUGCUCUGACCCAGCCCCCAGCCCUCCAGUACUUCUGCCAGAAGCCUCACUGUGUGGCCUCAGAGAAAUCACUGGACCUCUCAGGAUCAAUGACCCCUGUAAGGGGCCAGAGCCGUGGAGGACACUAAGAGGAGGCAGGAAGAGCAACUCAAAUACCCAAGAACACAAGAAGACCCAUCCUGAAUUGGGAUGGAAUGGCAGCAUGCAGACUUGGGUCAGAUAGCAGGAGGAACUUUCAAAAGUCUGGCCCACUGUGCAGUGGAGCAGAAGGCAGGACUGUGAGGCCUUCUGCCAUGUACCGAUUGCAGACCCUGCCCCUAACUCCUGCCUAUGACACAGAAGCCCCACACCAGUUGCCUAGAUGAACUGGACUCUGCCUUUGGUUUACUCAGGGUCUGAUGUUGGAAUCUGCCGCAACUGCACACCCCAGCCCCUACAUGUCCUCCUAAGGGGCCCCUCCUUGUGCUGCCAGUCAGCCUGGAUUUCUGGUCGUUGGUUAUUUCUGUGCAAACAAAAGGUGUGCCUGGCAGCCAUUUCUCCAUGGAGUUGCUAAGUGGCUGGAAAACAAGCCUGAGGGAGGAGGCAAGAGUUGGAGUUACCUUAGGCCCCCGAUUCACUGCCUACGAACAGAAACAGACCAUCCCCCACUCCUUGGGUAUCCCCAACCCCAGACCCCCAUCACUUGAUGGGCCACACAAGUUUGAGAGUGGUACAAGGGAGAAGUUUGGGAAAAGCCUUCUUGGAAAAUGGGACAUUAGCAUUGAGUUUUGAAAGAUGAGUAGGAGUUUGCUAAGAAUAGAUGGAAGACAGCGGGAUAAACAUUCCAGAGAAAAUCGUGUUUGUUCCCUGCUGUAUCUUCCAGAACCUAGGAGGAUGCCUAACAGAGAGUAAGCACUUAAAAAAUAUUUGUCAUAUGAAUGAAAAAAUAAACGAAUCAAUGUUGAUA